ensembl:lncRNA
GUAAAAAAUGAGAACUAAUGUCCUGGUGUCAUCUUCAGUCUGCUUUACAUCUAAUAAUAGGCCUGAGUAUGUUUCCAUUGAAGCUGAUGGAAAAAUUGUUUUUGCUUGACAGAAUAUAUGUCUUAAUUACAUCCCUGUUUUAAUGAUAAGUUCUGAAGCAAUUAUCACCUACUUGUAGAAAUCCUGAAAAGGGUGAGACUCUUUGUGUGUUGCUUACUGAAAAAAUGGAUCAACAAAUGCAGGACAGUACUGCAGGCUGCUCGUACUUUCAGCACUGUCAUUUAGUAGGGUGAAUUGGAGGGAAAAGUCAACUCCAGUGUCCCUCAUCAGUUCUCUGUUUUUUGGGGGGAAAGAAUUAAGAGCCUCAACCAGCUGUCUGCUUCUGCUGUGUUCUAAUGUUCAUAUUACAUGGUUGCCACCAACUGGUGUGGUUGUAAUCUCUAUCACCUGUUUUGGCAGAGAUUGUGAAAGAAGCACUGUGUGCCUUCACAGUGUGGUCCAUAGCUCUUCAAGUGUGAUGUGCUGUGAAUAGCAAGGGGUAAGCAUGCUGCAUUUUAACAUCAGUCCAUUACAUCAGAAGCAUGAAACCGCAUACGGAAACCAAAUGGGUACCAAGUUCAGAAUGUGUCUUCCUGUUUUUCUACUGUGUUCUGAAUUGAGCUUAGUGUGUAAACAGACCUUUGUUUUCAUUCCUUUUUCUUAGCACAUGUGCCUAUAUGGCUGUUUUCUCCACUCAGCUACGAGCAGGGAAGAAAGUCUUCUUUCCUUGAACAAUUCUGUAGAUGUGCACUGGAGAACUUCGGCAAGAAAAUCCAGAAGCUGGAUGAGUUUGUUCUACCGUAUGUAAUGCAAAAUCGUGAUGAAAACAUAGUUUGGUAUAAAAGCAAUUUAGAUAACAAUGCAUGAGAUUUGUCAUUGGUUGAAGGCUUAACUUCCAUGUUGAAUGCCUUUCUGAAAAAUGUUUAGUUGUAUGUUUUGGACUUGCAGCAGGAUUUUCUGGGUAAAAUUCUCAUUUUUUGCAGAACGUC